rnacentral:rRNA from 1 species
CAGCAGCCGCGGUAAUACCGGCGGCCCGAGUGGCGGUCACUAUUAUUGGGCUUAAAGCGUCCGUAGCCGGGUUGGGAAGUCCUCCGGGAAAUCUGGCCGCUUAACGGUCAGAAUGCCGGAGGAUACUCCCAGCCUAGGGAGCGGGAGAGGCCGAGGGUAUUCCCGGAGUAGGGGGGAAAUCCUAUAAUCCCGGGAGGACCACCGGUGGCGAAGGCGCUCGGCUGGAACGCGUCCGACGGUGAGGGACGAAGGCCAGGGGAGCAAACCGGAUUAGAUACCCGGGUAGUCCUGGCUGUAAACGAUGCGGACUUUGUGUCGGACAAGCUAUGAGCUUGUCCGGUGCCGGAGGGAAACCGUUAAGUCCGCCGCCUGGGGAGUACGGCCGCAAGGCUGAAACUUAAAGGAAUUGGCGGG